GCAGCAGGUUUGCGAAUCUUAUUAAGCUAUCUUAGUGACCUGGGAGGCUGGUUUAGAAGGUGCUCUAACCUAAGCAAGAGUGCGACUGAGCCUUGGAUCAUCGUUCGUUGACUUGUGAGAGCUCUUGGAGACGUCUCUUGAGCAGCAUUGGGGCUUCGUUAAGCCGUUGUGGGACUUCUUGUGGAUAAUCGGAGCCUAGUACUAGAGCCUGUUACAGGAGAGGCUAGGGAUCGUG